GACCUAAGCCCUUUUAAGCAGGGGUUCAAAUCCCCUCGCUAACU
rnacentral:tRNA from 7 species